UGAUUCAUGUCAGCGCUACCGCUAUAUAAUGAUGGAAUUAUGUGAUUUUGAAACAAUUGAAGACUGGAUAAACAAGAGGAAGGACCUAAAGACUGACAGUAUUGAAAAUAAAAGUAGUAGAUCCACCGAGUCAAGAUUUAUAUUGCAGUUUGAUGUUCCUGAAAUACUUGCCAAAGGAGGCUUUGGUCAUGUUUUCAGAGCAGGAAAAAACCUUUCAGCCAAGGAUUAUGCUGUUAAGA